UAUAAGACGCGCAAAAUCCGUACUCGAGUUCAUUCGUAGUUUCGACGUCGUAUCGAAUGGAUGUAUAUCGGAGACGAUGGACGAUAAUUAUCUGCUGCCAUUUUUCAUUGAAAAAUGGAAUAUCGAAGAUUUUUGCUUCUCACCAUUUCAAACACAUAAAUAAUCGUAGUGGAAUCCAAUCCCGGAAGGGCAAUGUGUCGAACGACACAAACAUUCUCCGUGUCAUGCAGCGAGAUUCCUCCGGCAGUUUAUCUCCCUUCCGCCCGAUAGCCAAGGCGCUUCCGUUAUCAUCGGCCGCGUUGUUGGCAGCAUAAAUUGAUACAGAUGCGAGUUAGCCCGAGUUUUUCGCCCCUGCUGCUAUUCCACGGGAAUAGCUGAUGGCGGCUUGGAUUUCGUUCUUCCAGAACGAAAAUCAUUCGAGAAGAUUUCAAAGGAAUCAAAAAAAAAAAAAAAAAAAAAAAAAGAAAUCGCGUUUGGAACGAGCAAUUUCUUCGCGAGCAAAGCGAGCGAGGAUCGUUGACCUCGAUAAUGGUAAACCGAUAAUGGUAAACUAAUUGGAUCUCGUGCGUCGAUUUCGAGCAAAAUAGCCGGAAAAGAAGAAGUGGCUUUCACAAAUUAUCGUUUCCCUCUAACUAAUAAGAAUUUAACGUCGAGAGGUUGAUUACCGAUUAAUUUAUUCGACACUUUCGAUAAGAACGAAUUUACCAAGAAUUAUUCGUCGAAAUUUACAUUCCAUUUUAAUAAUACGGAAUAAGAAAAAUAAUAUACUCUCGUACAACAAUUUCAAACAUAUCAAAAGUUUCGAAGAUCGGAACGAAACGAGACACGAUGAAAUACUUUGUCGUUUCACGAGUAAUGAGCAUUAAACCAGGUUGAAGAAGAACGGAUAGAGAAGGAGAGGGGUGUCAAAGUUUCGAGUGGCCCUUCCUCCCCCUCCCCUCAUAAUUAGGAUCAGAAUUUUGGUAUCUCGGCCUCGGUUGGAUCCUCCGUGUUGCGUCCCUUGUGUUUUCGAGUGUAGGCGUAGGUUGUUGGAGUGUCCCCGUGUAAACAGACAACAAAUAGUCCAGGAAGGCCGGAUAAGCCGCUAACAUCGUGCGGUCUAUGUUCAAUGCGGUAAUUAACGGCGCGAUGUCACAUAGGGCCUUUAAUCUCCCGGUAACGAUUCCCGUGGCCGCGAAGUUCCUUGAAAAUUAGCAUAAUAAUAUAUCGUCGUCUAUCUCGGCCAAUUAAACGGCCAUAAAGCCGGCCGAGCUUUGGCGACGGUCCGGGGCUGCCACGACGUCGUACCAGGCUAACUCAGGGACUCAGCUAUUAAUGAAUGGUGGUUCCUCGUCGAGGGUGACGGGGAACUAUAAACUUGUCCCCUUGGCCGACUAGACGAUCCUUUGAUUUCUCUUUUCCUUCCGACCACGAUCCUCGAUCCCCGCCACGUUAUGCUCCUUCAACUCGUACAGAUUGUUUAAUUUAAGGAGGACGCACUUUGUUAAAUUUUUAAAUAUCUUCUUACUUAUUUAUUUAUUUCUUUUUAUUUGAUUGAAUUUUAGAAUGGAAAGAAAAAUUUUUGAAUUUUUUUAAGUCUUUUCUUUUCUUUUUUUUUAAAUACAGUUUGCAUUGAUGGUAUAUUUGUAGUUCAAACUAGAAAUAAAAAUUAUUGUGGAAUAAAAAAGGGAAAGAAAAGGCUCGAACGAUUAAUCUGAGAUUAAUUGCGAAAUAACGGUACUUUUUCAAAACGAUUAAAAGCGUCGAAAGAUACAAUUGAAGACAAAUUUUCAAUAAAUAUGCGACUUUUUUUUUUACAGAUUUAAGCGAGGUGACGAGGUUUCUCGAUUUGAGAUCCAUCAAAGUAGGCGAUAACUGUCUCUCUGCUCAUGGGACAUUGCGGUUUUCUCGCCGUCGCAGAAUCGUCGGAACAUUCGGACCACGGGCAUCGUUAAACGAUCGUUAACAAGGCCUCCUCGAAGUUCCAACGCGGGACGGAUGGAACGAUUUGUCAAGAUCUGUGUGACGCGGGUUUCUCACGGCAGUUUCUUCGUCGAAAAAUAACAUAAUUCCGUUCAAUUCGAGUUUCCAUUGCAUCUUUAUCUUAAUUUUAGAAAAAUUAGAAAUCACUUUACUUACUUUUAUUAACAAAAAAAGAAAAAAAAAAGAAAGAGCACGCAAUUCUAAGAACGAUUCUCAAAUAUAUUUCCACUCUCCUCCUCUUCUCUUGCCAAUCCAAAAACCAAAAAAAGAAAAGAAAAAGAAAAAAAGAUCCAACCACCUUCCAACAACCCCAUCCCACCACGAGAAAUCGCAAUUGGAAGCGGCCACCCUAGAUAUACUUCACGGUCGAUUAGCCGGAAGCAACGCCAAUCUUCCUCCUCGAUUUUCAACUCUCGCGCUCGGGGUGGGGGAGGGGGAGGGGGAGCAAAAGUUCAUUUGCGCUUAAUGCCGCGCGAUUAAUUGCCCCUCGGCCACUCGGCGAGAGGUUGUAAGGCCAUUUACGGCGGUGGCUCGGGCCUGUGUUUACCCCGUGCUGCCUACAAAUUCGUUCGCACUCGAAUUCCAGCGUCGUGGCCGCGCGAGGGGCCGAUUUAUCGACGGCUUCCGUGGCCGGGAACCGCGGAAACGGCGCUUUGCACGAGGAUCCACGUGGACACGAUCGUGGACGACCCGGGGACACGAAUACCGUACCGGCCUGGCCUGGCUCAACCCGCCCAACCAGCACGGAAACCGACGCGAGGAGACGACUCGUCCACUCGCGACAACUCUUCUCCAUUUCCGGCCGGCCGUGUUCGAGGAUCGGUGCCGCAAUUAGCAAUGACCUCUGCUCCACUCCUCCGCACCUUCCCUCCCCUUCCGCUCCCCUUCUCGAUGCGCGAAGAACCGGCACGGAAACGGCAUUUGAAUUGCAUUUCGCCCGUGAGAGCAUUGCCUGAUUCCGUGUCUUCGCCGAGAAAUUGCGAGUUGGUGGAUUAAAAGGGAGAAGGGGAGGAGGAGGAGGAGGAGGAGGAGGGUGUCGAGGAGAGUACGGAGGGUAAAUCGGGUGCCACGAUUUCCUUCGCGGGGACACGAAUCAAUGAAAUGGGAGGAACUCGAGGAGGAGAUCUUUCAUUCCUUUUCCCCUUUCUUUUCGUAAGAUACGGAUAUCGUUUCGCGGGAUUAUUAAGAAUUUUGUAUAUAGGGAAUAAUCGUCAAACGAGUGCGUCUUUUGUUUUGAACAAAAGACGGAUCGACGGUAAUUCAAAUUAUUCGUUAUUCCGAAAAAUAAAACGAAAUUAUAUAUCCUAUAUUCAGGCCUGCGUCAAGCGGUUAAAUUAAAUUAUCUAAAUCUCA